CAAUAGCGUAUAUUAAAGUUGUUGCGGUUAAAAAGCUCGUAGUUGGAUUUCUGCUGAGAACGACCGGUCCGCCCUUUGGGUGUGUAUCUGGCUCUUUCUUGGCAUCUUCUUGGUGAACGUUGCUGCACUUGACUGUGUGGAGCGCUACCCAGGACUUUUACUUUGAGGAAAUUAGAGUGUUUCAAGCAGGCAUACGCCUUGAAUACAUUAGCAUGGAAUAAUAAGAUAGGACCUCGGUUCUAUUUUGUUGGUUUCUAGAGCUGAGGUAAUGAUUAAUAGGGAUAGUUGGGGGCAUUCGUAUUUAACUGUCAGAGGUGAAAUUCUUGGAUUUGUUAAAGAUGGACUACUGCGAAAGCAUUUGCCAAGGAUGUUUNCAUUG
rnacentral:rRNA from 1 species